GGCCGCUUUAGCUCAGCUCCGUUGGUAGAGCACAUCAUUCGUAAUGAUGGGGCGAGGUGUUCGAGUCACAGUUGCCA
rnacentral:tRNA from 1 species